ACGGCUCCAUUGCGGACCCAGGAGGCCCGGGCAGAAAGGAGAGAGGGGUUAUCCGGGACACAAAGGAGACAGAGGUGAAAUGGGACCACGUGGCUUUCAGGGGGCAACAGGACUUCCAGGCUACAACGGACUGAAGGGUCAGAAAGGUGACCGGGCGGUGGUUGAGAGGACGAGGAGGAGUGUUGGUGUUUAAGGGGGGGUAUGCUUUCAUCUUUCGGGCAUUUUACCCAGGGACCAACUCACCGUCUUUCUCUACAAACUAUCAUUCCAUAUAUGCAGUAGCUGUGUCUUGAGUUACAGAGGCACGUUUAUUCUGAGUGCAAGGCUUACUCGCAGAGCAAACGAUAAUUACCCGCAACACUUUCAGCUGCAGAUUUGGGGACUUUUAUGUUUUAAUACAAAAUUUUCUGUGUGCUUUGGCUUAUAAUAUUCUCUGCGUUAUUUGGUCCAGUCGAAGGAAGCAGAAUCAUAAGAUUUGUAUCUGUUCUGAAGCCUCCUGGUUUGUGAAAAGGAAAAUAUGAUUGUUUUACAACAGGAACGAGAAAUGGUAAUUUAAUCACAUGAAUUAAAACAAUGUUCGUAAAUAAAAAAAAACAAAAAAAAAACUUUGUUACAGAUACUGCCUGACCAAAAUAAUAUUUUAACAUUUUGGAAUAUUUAACUUCAAGGGUUUUUUUUCCUUUACAUGAUAUCUAAGUCUCUGGCAGACACAGCCUUUCUUUAUGCAUGUUGUUUAGAAAUAUGGGAAAUUACACAAUGUGUGGUAACAUUUUUGUAAUAGACUGAUGUCACAGAUAUCGUAUGCACUUAACUUGAUGAUUUUUUUUUGUAUUAUUUUGUAUCCAGUUUGUUUUUUGCUUUUUUUUUGCUUUUAAAUGUACAAGUGUGUAAAUACAGGUUUAAGUCAAAGCUCUCAGUACUGUUUUGAUGUCAUAUAAAGGGUUUUUUUUUUUUUUAAAACACACAGCUCUUGUAAGUACCACGUCUACUUGCUGGAUUGUUCAAUGGUCUUGUUAUUUUUCUUGGUUGAGACAGAGCAGAAAUAGUUCUCACAAUGUAACACAAGCUGUGUAAACUGCUUUGUCGGUGUUCAUUAGUCAAAGAAAAAAACUUCAGGGAAUUUCAGAUUUUUCUAAAUUGUCAGGAAUUGUUCCAUCAGUAAGAACUGCAGUUCUGGCCCAAAUUCCAUGACUGUCUAUCAUGCUGCACGUUGCAUUACAUUACAUUACAUUUAUUUAGCAGACACUUUUAUCCAAAGUGAUGUACAAAAAUGCGUAUCAUGGUCAUUGGAGCAACUACAAAACACAGGCUGGAUAAGGCACAAUACUCGUUUCGUACAGCACGUGGAACCAUGUGAUUAUUCCAGGCAUCAAAAACACCUUUCUCUUAUCAUUCUGUCACUCAAGUCUUUUAUAUGACAUCAAAACAAUAUUAAAGGCUCUUUAUGCCCUGUUCCUGCAUGCAAAACCUGGUUAGAAAUGGGUUUAUUCCACUUCAUGGGAUUAUUAUUAGUUGCUAUUUUUAAAAUCAGUUGUUGUUAGGUGUAAAAUUGUUGCCAAAUUACUGAAAAAAAACUGGAAUAUACCUGAUAUUUUAUGUGGUAGACAAAAAAUGAAAUGUUUUUAAAUGACCGAAAAUGUCUUUUAUAAACAAAAACCCCUUUUGAGUAUACGUGAAAUUAUUGAAAACUAUUGUAAUUAAAUAAAAUAAUUGAAAUGUAUUUUUAAUGAAGGACAGACAUUUUCUUUUGGAAAAUACAGUAGAGAAAUCCAGUUACUUGUUGUGAUGAAUUAAAUUUAUACAUUGGAAUGUGUUUUUUAAAUAAAUGUCCAUUUUUUAAAUCUCUG